rnacentral:rRNA from 1 species
UACGAAGGGGACUAGCGUUGUUCGGAAUCACUGGGCGUAAAGCGCACGUAGGCGGAUGUGUCAGUCAGGGGUGAAAUCCCGGGGCUCAACCUCGGAACUGCCUUUGAUACAGCACGUCUCGAGUCCGGAAGAGGUGGGUGGAAUUCCUAGUGUAGAGGUGAAAUUCGUAGAUAUUAGGAAGAACACCGGUGGCGAAGGCGGCCCACUGGUCCGGUACUGACGCUGAGGUGCGAAAGCGUGGGGAGCAAACAGGAAUUGAGAAACCCCAGUAGGUC